rnacentral:rRNA from 1 species
UGGGGAAUUUUGGACAAUGGGCGAAAGCCUGAUCCAGCAAUGCCGCGUGUGUGAAGAAGGCCUUCGGGUUGUAAAGCACUUUUGUCCGGAAAGAAAUCCUUGGCUCUAAUACAGUCGGGGGAUGACGGUACCGGAAGAAUAAGCACCGGCUAACUACGUGCCAGCAGCCGCGGUAAUACGUAGGGUGCAAGCGUUAAUCGGAAUUACUGGGCGUAAAGCGUGCGCAGGCGGUUUGCUAAGACCGAUGUGAAAUCCCCGGGCUCAACCUGGGAACUGCAUUGGUGACUGGCAGGCUAGAGUAUGGCAGAGGGGGGUAGAAUUCCACGUGUAGCAGUGAAAUGCGUAGAGAUGUGGAGGAAUACCGAUGGCGAAGGCAGCCCCCUGGCAAGUACUGACGCUCAUGCACGAAAGCGUGGGGGAGCAAACNGGAUUAAUACCCUGGUAGUCCACGCCCUAAACGAUGUCAACUAGUUGUUGGGGAUUCAUUUCCUUAGUAACGUAGCUAACGCGUGAGUUGACCGCCUGGGGAGUACGGUCGCAAGAUUAAAACUUAAAUGAAUUGAC